rnacentral:rRNA from 1 species
UACGGAGGGGGCUAGCGUUGUUCGGAAUUACUGGGCGUAAAGCGCACGUAGGCGGCUUUGUAAGUUAGAGGUGAAAGCCCAGGGCUUAACCCUGGAAUUGCCUUUAAGACUGCAUCGCUUGAAUCAUGGAGAGGUUAGUGGAAUUCCGAGUGUAGAGGUGAAAUUCGUAGAUAUUCGGAAGAACACCAGUGGCGAAGGCGAGUCCCUGGACAACUUCUGACGCUGAGGCACGAAAGCUAGGGGAGCAAACAGG